rnacentral:misc_RNA from 1 species
UUCACUCUCAUAUUGUGCAUCCAUGUUGAUAUCAAAUUCCCGUUCACUUGAAAUAACAUCUAUAUCAUCAUUCCCCCCCAUUCUACCAAUUCGCUGUUCCUGGCCUUUUUCUUCCAGUACACUAUGUGAAACUGUUUGAUUUGAAUAGCUCCUAAAAAAAGCCAUACUCUCACGUGGAAUUUCUGCAAAAAUAUCACUUUCCACCUGUUGCUAUCAGAUAUGUAUGUUGUGGACACAAUGCAGCAUUAAGCUUCUUCUUGUCAGUCUCCUGUAACCUCUCCAGAAGUCCUUUGUACGUAACCAAAAAUAGAGAAAAUAGAGUGAUUCAAGCAUGGUUAAUUUAUGUCGAACUUUAUUAAAAAAAUAGAGGAAGUGCGCAGGUUGAUAAUCGUGCGCACCUUUCCAAUCGCCGGUUAGUCAAUCGCCGGCGGCUAAAAAUUUUUUUAAAAAAGAAAAAGGUCGUUUCGUGGUCCGGGUUUCGGUUUCGCAAAGGAAUUGGGUUUGGGCUAUGAGUUCGUGUGUCGGCGGCCGGGGUAGCUAAGAUGCGCCGGACGGCGAGGUUGCCGUCGUUCCGAUUUGAGCGGAAGACGACG